UGUAAUAUAACAUAAAAUUAAAGUCAAUUAAAUAAUAUUUAAAAUAUUUUAAACAGCUUUAUACUGGUGAGAGUGAGGUUUUUGGCCUGUCCCUCACUAUAAUAGUUUUACUUCAGCAGGACUUUUAAUUUGUAAAAAAUGAAUCUAAAAAUCCAAAAAUUAAAUAUUAAAACAAAAACAAACAAAGAAACAAACGAUAAAUAUGCAGAAAUAUGAACGUUUCCAUUUCCAUGACACCUGGGCUAACCCUUCUUCAGCUGAAGAAGAUCAUGUGAUUUGAUCAAAAGCUCCAGAACAGCAACUAAACUGACCUGUUUCUUGUCAAGCCUGAAUGGGAUCAUUUAGAUAACCAAUCAGGUUACGUUCUAUCAGUCACAUGAUCCAAGAAAGAAACAUUUAGGAGUGACUGAAUUAAAGUUUUUGAAAUUACAAAAAAUCUAAAAAAAAAAAAAUCAGAAUAAAAAUAGCGCCCAAACUACAUGAACUCAGACAGAUUUUGUUUUUUUUUUAAAUAUUUCAAUACCAUUAAUUCAGUCACAUUUAAACUUAAACAUUAGGUGUUCAGCCACUUGUUAAAAAUUGAAAUUAUUUUGACAUUAUCAGUCAGCCAGUAUCAGUCGAGCUCUGAUGUUUUAACUUCAGAUUAUACUCAAAAUACAAAAUCAUUAAUUCAACAAAAUCUGUCUCCAAUCGAUCAAUAAUUUCGUGCAUGCCCCGAUAUUUCACAAACAAACUGAUUCAGAACUCUAUGAUUUAUUGCACAGUGAAAUGUCAGGUCACCUCCUGCUGAGUUUAAGUCUCCAUAAUUAGCCAUGACAUGAAAGCACCUUACUCAUCUGGACUCGAUGGACUAAUCACUCAACCAAACCUGAUGAAAACAAAAAGAGGAGUUCUUGAACAAACUGAGGGGAUUAAAAUGGUCCCAGCAGACGUCACGUGUUCACCGUCCUGUUGGAUUAUUAGCUGAUGGAUUGAUGGAUGGAGGCCUGAUGGAGUUUAACUGCUGAAUCAUCGACACAGACGGAUUGAUGGACGGGAGGACGGACGGCUCUUCAGCUCAGAUGACCAAUGGAAUCAGUACACCGAGGGCUGGUCACACAGAGAGGUGCAGAACGAUGAGUCACACCUCCACCUCAUCAAACCAAAAGAGUACGCCAUCCCUGCUUCCCCCGCACCUCCUCCUCCUGCUCCUCUUCCUCCUCUUCUUCCUUCCUCUGAUGAAGGUGAAAUAAAACAAACUCUGGAUAAAAACACUGACACUCAUAGAGAACACGGAGCUAUGAGACGCCUUUCCAUUACAAGAGGACACCCUGACUGAUUUUUGCACAGAGCAAAGCUACAGUGGGACUCUGAGGUACGACAAAUGUUACUUGAAUCAUCUGCAACAUAUAUUUACAACAUGUCUGCUGGCUAACGGAGUCCUCCAUAUAUUCACGAAUAGAUGUUUUUUGGGAGACUGCUCCUGUUGCUGUAGAGAAAAAGAAACUUGUAAGUCCUUGUCUGUACGUUGCAUAUCAUAUUCAAACCAAAACAUAUUAUUGCAUGCUUGGAAAGUAGAGCAUGUAAACAGAAGAAAACAAGUCUGACUUUUGUGUUGACGGCUCAACCCAGCACCGCUAAUCUGAAACAUGGGAACAACAACAACAACAACAACUCAUCAAUAUCAAGUUUAUUGAGAUAAUUCUGUUCGACUGGUGGAGUUAGUUGCUAAAUCUAUAUUUUUUAAAGUGUCAUACUGUAUAUGUUUUAUAUGGAGAGGAAUUAGUUAAUUAUUUUGUAGAUUUUUAACAUUUUUGCUAACGUGUUUUUAUUUUAUUUUCUUGUUUUUUCUUUCUUUUUCUUUUUUUUGCCUUGGUAAAAACAAAGCAGCUCCAGAGGGCAGCUCUGAUGAAAAUGUCUACUUUAAAAAAAAGGAAAAAAAAACCUGCCCCUAUAUGAAGAAUGUUCGUGUGGAAAAUUAACAAAAAAAAAAAAGAAACGCAUUUAUCGCAGACAUUUGACAUCUGAUUUUCUUUGAAUAUUUUUGAUUGUGUUUGGCUUUUGAUCAGAAUGCUGUAUAUCUGUUAUUAUCGAUAACAUCUACCUCAGUGUCCGCUCAUUAAUGACAGAAGCUUUAACACCUGAGUGAUGUCAGUGUCCUUGUGUUAUCUGAACACUGUCAUCAGACCUGGAUUAAGUAUUUAAAUGCCUCUCGAAUUUUCUGGUGCAAUUCAUGAAACGCAAACACUCUAUAAACUGCCAUUUGAUAACUCAGAGAAGCCCCAAAAAAUGCUAAAGACGCUCCAGGAUAUGUAAACAAAACCACAUUAACUAGGGUUGAAUUACAUGAAUCCUUUUAAUAAAUAUCAGAUGUCAUCCAGCCUGACUUCAGCAGAACAGCUAAGAGCCUGACAGCACCAUUUUCUUUGCACAUUUUAAUUUACUGGUGAAAUUGUUUCAGAAGUCUGUGUGAGCGAAUGUGACUGUUUUUGAAUUAAUGGUUGAUUUAAGGGCAAUAAUGUGUUGCAGAAGUUUCCUACCAUUAAUAAAUGGAGUGGGUCAGCCUGUCUUAAAACUGUAAAACCUAAACAAAGUAGUUUGAGGUUUUAAUGGAAAUUAAGUUUUAUGUCAGCUGAUGGUCCAAAAUGCUGUUUCAGUGGUUUUAUCAACCCUGACAAGAGCCCAAUCCUCGGGUGACGUUUAUUUCUUGUAAAUUUCAGACACGUAAUUGGUGACACUUGUGGGAAGAAUUUUGGAAAGCCUGUUUCAAAUUUGAGAUGGGACAAUGGAUUCUAGUUUCGCAGCACUGAUAUCAGUUUCUAGGAUGUGUUUAGCCUAGCUUAGCAUAAAAGCAGGAAGCAAAUGAAAACUGCUAGCCUAAAAAACAACUUAGAUUCAGGAUCAGUUAGCACUGGCGCUACUUUGCGACCAACAACAGCCAUGAUGAAAGUGAUCAAACUUAGUAGUAGUUUAACAUAUUUGAGAUCCAGAGACUUAGCUGGCUAGGUUGUACAUGCUAACGUUAAAUGUUAUUAAAGCCACCAAUUAUAUAAAUUACUGGACAACUAUCUGGCAACGUUAGCUAGCUUGCAGCACUGACUAACAUUAUAGAUAAAGACAUCUUAAAUUUUCACUGUAAAGAAAAUGAUCAGUUUUUGUAGAUUAAUUAUGAGUUGCUAGCUGACGUUAAUUGAAUGAAAUGUUGACAUGAAAUGUUGGCGCUGCAGGGGGUGGCGUCACUCUGUGAUGUUAGCCCGGUUAUUCCUAGGCGUAUACCAAGGCACCUGUAGCCUAGCUUGGCAAAGACUGGAAGCAGGCCGAAACUGCUAGCCUAGCUCAAAAAAUUAAUUCACUUUUCAUUAUAUAAUGAUUAUUGAAAAGGUGUAUGAAAAGAAAUGUAACAAUGACAUAUUGUGGUUUUAAAAGUAGUUGCCAUUGCAGCUAACUUAUCUGUUGACCAAUGACUGCUAGCAUCGCAAAAGUCCCAUCUUUAUGGUCGGGUCGCCUAGUUUUAGCUCACUCUCAACUCUACGUGCUUGUAGCUAGCAAUCUUAUUUUUAUUUUAUUCCUACAAUAUGUAAUAACGCUACUUUGUUAUAGAGUGGUGCAGAAAUGAGUCCUAAAACCCAGAAAUGAGUUAGCAUUUUAGCACUACAUGCUCUUGUCUUAAAGUCAAUGGGUUUUUGUUAAGCUGCCUGAAAUAACAUCUGUCUGUGGUUAACACAAGCCUAAGAGACUACGGCCAUAAAAUACGUCAGCAAAUUCCCCCUGUCAUAAAUUUUGAAGCUUUUAUACAUCUUAAAAAGGGCGGUUGUUCGCAAGUGGCUAAAUGAGACCUCAGAACGUUGUCAUGCCAAACACAGCUUUAAAGCCUUGUUGUGCUGGCGACAUUGAAUCAUGAAACUGUAGUGUAGUUUGCUUAUAGUCUAACUUUAGCUUUUUACUUUUGGCGAUUCAUGUGAAACUCCAAAAGUUAUAAAAGUUAAUUUGUGAAUUUUAUCUGAUUGAACAAAAUGUGUAUCAUUAAAUUCCAUUGGCUUUCUGACAAAGGAAACAGGGCAAAGUUAGCUUCCGCGUUGGCCGAUGAAGAAACGUCAUCCCUACAAAAUUUGGUCACUUGAUCAACCACAGGCAAACAGUUUCCUCCUGCUUCCAGUCUUUGUGCUAAGCUAGGCUAAGCACCCCCUGGACCAUCUAGAGAUGCACAAAAUGAUGCCCAGUCCAUCUUCUCACCUGAUUCUGGGGAAGAUGAUGAACAAAAUCAUUCCCCAAAAUGCUUAACUUGUUUUUAUCAUUGUCACAAAUCAGUGAAACUGGUCUGUAAAAACUUGUAUCCAUCAAACCCGAGCAUCAACUCUGCAGUUUGGUCUUGUUGUAAUUCUGCUUUGCUUAGACAUAAAAACAGCCGAGGGUGAUUUCUGGUUGACAGAGGCACUGAUGAGCUGUGACUCAGCAUUAGUGGUGAUGAUUAAUGUAUUCUGUAUGUGCAACAAUUAAAACAGCAUUUCCCCUGUGAGUGCAGCAAUGUCCUUGUGACUACAUUUCAGCCAGGUCAGAUCACGUAAUAUUCACUACAUGUAACAUCUAUUCAUUCAUUCAUUCAUUCAUUCAUUCUCGACUGCAGAGUUCAGUUUCAGGCUUGUCACCAAAUUGUCUCAUUUUCAUGCAAAAAGAGGACGAAGCAAUAGUGUGAGUGAUUCCUGUGCUCUGGGAACUUCAGUGUGGAAGCAAAAUGCAUUUUUGAUUUCUUUCCUUUUUUCCCCUGUUUUUUAUUUCCAGUUACUGUUGCUAUUUUUAUUUUGUCAAUCUUCAAUUGUGAUCUAUUUUUGAUAAAAUAAAUAUUUUAUCCUGA